CCUACGGGGUGCAGCAGUGGGGAAUAUUGGACAAUGGGCAAAAGCCUGAUCCAGCCAUGCCGCGUGUGUGAAGAAGGCCUUCGGGUUGUAAAGCACUUUCAGUGGGGAAGAAAGCCUUGGGGCUAAUACCCUCGAGGAAGGACAUCACCCACAGAAGAAGCACCGGCUAACUCCGUGCCAGCAGCCGCGGUAAUACGGAGGGUGCGAGCGUUAAUCGGAAUUACUGGGCGUAAAGCGCGCGUAGGCGGUCUGAUAAGCCGGUUGUGAAAGCCCCGGGCUCAACCUGGGAACGGCAUCCGGAACUGUCAGGCUAGAGUGCAGGAGAGGAAGGUAGAAUUCCCGGUGUAGCGGUGAAAUGCGUAGAGAUCGGGAGGAAUACCAGUGGCGAAGGCGGCCUUCUGGACUGACACUGACGCUGAGGUGCGAAAGCGUGGGUAGCAAACAGGAUUAGAUACCCGGUAGUC
rnacentral:rRNA from 1 species